rnacentral:SRP_RNA from 2 species
GCUGGGGGUGGUGGCUCACACCUGUAAUCCCAGCACUUUGGGAGGCUGAGGCAGGGAGAUCACUUGAGGCCAGGAUUUCAAGACUAGCCUGGCCAACAUGGCGAAUCCCUGCCUCUA